AUGGCGGCGAUAUCCAAGGUGCUCGAGGACGAUGACCUCCUCGGUGAGAUCCUCCUCCGCACCGUCUUCACCACCACCCUUCUCAACUCCGCCCUCGUAUGCACACGCUGGCUCGCCCAUGCUUCCAACCGCGCCUUCCUCCAUCGAUUUCGUGAGAUCCACCCGCCCCGCCUUCUUGGCUUCUACAUCAACAAAGGUCAGAACACCCCGCACUUCAUCCCAAUAUUGCCUCAGCCCCGUGAACUCACUGUUGUCAUCUGUCGCGCAACCUCUAGCUUGGGCACUUAUCAAAGAGUAUCGUCGGUACCAACCUACAUCCUUGGUUGCCGGAAUGGCAACGUCCUCAUUAGGCAGCAUGAUAAAAUUGGAACCACGUUUGCGGUACACAACGUGGUGUGUCCUGCGAGAGGCAUGGACAUCCUCCCACCGUUUCCACGCCCCCAAUCUCCAUACUUAUUUGACGGUACUGCUUACUCUAGAAUCAUGUCCAAAGAAGAGGAUGAUGCCUUGUCUUACUUGUAUGUGUUGAUGCACCAAACAACGGAUGGAAAACAUAGGGUAUACAUAUAUAUCUUGAAACAUGGCAUAUGGCGCAUGAAUCAUAGCUUGAUCAUACAGCAGCCCCCUCGUCCAUGGUCAGUACUUAAAUCUGUGUUGUCCAACAAUAAAAUCUAUGUGCCGGCUGGAUGGAGCAACAUUAUUGUCUUGGAUUUGGCGGCCUCAAGUUUCUCCAUAAUUGAGCUCCCAGAAGGGAUGGAGUAUGGUGAGAGAAACACCAUAUUAUCACAGGCCGAUGAUGUUGCUGGUGUAUAUCUUAUCCAUGUCAAGAAGUUUCAACUUCGCAUAUGGCUCCACAAUGGGUACACAUGGUUGCUGAUGGACACCAUUUAUUUGCGUGAGAUGUUUGCUGAUUUUAGUGUGUCAGAUGGCAAUGCUUCUCUCCUGAUAAACCAGGCAGGAGACAAUGCUGAGUUUGUGUUCUUGGACAUGGGUCGAUGCACAUUCCUCUUGGACAUCGAGCGUAGAACAAUGCAUAAGGUGUAUGAGAAGGAAGACAGUGAUAAAUUUUUCUGUGAAAUCCAUCCUCUUAUGAUGAUCUGGCCUCCUGUAUUUCCUGCACGCAAGGGUGAUCCUACAAGAAAUGCCAUGCUCAGGCUGAAGAUCAAGGAUAUGGAUGGACACUAG
rnacentral:rRNA from 1 species